GUGAAAUCAAAACAAUUGGUAAAAAAGCACAGUUUUGAACAACCGAAGGGGACGAGCCCCUCUUCUUCUCUGGUUCGAUGCUUCUCUCCUCUGGUUGGAGCCCGUAGCUCUCUUCUUCAUUUGCUCUGAAGCACAUGCAGUCUGCUUCUCUUCAAGCCGUCAAAAGCUCCCAUUUCAACCCGCUUCUUCAUUAGGAUGUCAUCGUUAGCUUCUUCAUGGACUUCGGCGAACAACCCAAUGUGUACAUGUGGGAAGCCCGCAAAACUUAGAACAUCGAAUACGCCAAGAAAUCCGGGCUGAUCAUUUUUUGGGUGUCCAAACUACAAUACAGAGAGAUCACCAUACUGCAACUAUUUCAAAUGGGCAAAUCGCAGUGAGGAAAGAGAAAAAGAUCUUAUGAAGAUAGAAAUUGAGUUGUUAAGGAAUAAAGAAGAGCUUCGAAUAAGAGAUGAAGAGAUUGUAAAGUAUAAGUUGGGAAUCCACAACGACUAAUUUGAUAUUCAAAGGCAACAAGCAGAGAUCCAGCGUGAACGCACACUACUUAGAAUCUCUUGGAUUAUUUUUGUAUUAAUUUCAUUGUAUUGCAUCUGUAAACAAUGAAACCAUAUUACUUGAGGGAAAUUUGUAUAUACUUUUGUGGCUUUUGUUGUGUAUAACCUUAAGCAACUAGUUGAGAAAUUGAGUUAUGAAUGAUGCAUGCACAUCAAUAGUCUUGUAUAUAAUUUCAAUGUAUGAAGCUGGAAAUGUGAUCUUUAUGAGACAA